rnacentral:rRNA from 1 species
AUGGAUUUGAGAGACUCAUUAAUAUCAUGCUUAGGUGGAAUAGAUCUAAGUGUAUGUCGGAUUUCGGGUUCCGGCAGACCCUUGAGGUUCGAACACUGGGAUGCGCGCGGAGAUCUCUCCCCUACCGAUCUAUGUCCAAUCUCCUCGCAUGAUAUAAACUGGAAACAACGAACAACACAAGGGACACAAGGUUUAUACUGGUUCGGGCCACCGUUAUGGUGUAAUACCCUACUCCAGUGUGUGGUGUGGUGGAUUGCCUCAGGGGCUGAUAAUGAACAGUACAAGGGAAGAACAGCCUCGCGAGAGGUGUUCUUGAGCUGGUGCGAUGAACUGCUUGGGCGAGUUCAGUCGCCUCUCUCUCUCUCUCUCUCUCUGCUAGGGUUCUACCAGAUCUCUAGCUCUCUGGGUGUGUUGAUCUCUCCGGGGGGGUCUCUCUACUUUGUGGUGGCUAGCUCUAUUUAUAGAGGCCCUGGGCCUCUCCCCAAAUAA